UCCUCGCUCGAAGAAUCGCAUUCAAAGCUUACACACAGAGUGUCUCCCUCACCGCGACAGACAUCUCAUAUCUCCUUGCUUUGGGAGAAAGUCCCCGGACAUCGGUUCUUCGUGUACCGCACUCGCUUCACAGCGCUGCCACAGAAGCGCAGCCUCGCUCACGCACAUCAGAACACCGCUUUCCGCCGUGCACUCACCGUCUGCACUCCCUCGGCGCGUUCCCAAGAUCGCAGGUGACGGGCUGGCGUCAGGACGAGGAUAUGAGUCCGUCGGUACCCCGAGCUUGUUGCUUCGCGGGCCUGCAAUGAGUGGAGGAGGUGACGCCUGGUUGGCCGGCGGUAGUCAGACGAGGGUCCUUUCGUCAAGUUGGAUAGUUAUGCGAUUGCCUGCUGUCCUGUCCAGUAACAUGGACUGGCCGGAAGGUAACUCGAUGGGGCUUAUUCUCGAGGCGAGG
rnacentral:RNase_MRP_RNA from 1 species